rnacentral:sRNA from 1 species
UCACUCCACUGCUUUUCUAGAUAGAAGAGGACAACCUUCCCAGAUAGAGGAGGACCAGUUUUCAGUCAAGGGUAUACAAGUAGCUGUGCUCCCCUGAUAGUACCUCCAAACAAAAUUCACUUUAAACUUCUUUUUCACAUAGUACAAUUUAGAAUACUUAAAUGGGCACUCUAAC